GCCCAGCCGUAAACUUUUACUUACAUCCAAAUUGCCUGGGAACUACGAGCUAAGCUUAAAACCCAAAGGACUUGACGGUACCCCAUAUCCCCCUAGAGGAGCCUGUCCUAUAAUCGAUAAUCCACGUUUAACCUCACCAUUUUUAGUUAAUCAGCCUGUAUACCUCCGUCGUCAGCUUACCACGUGAGCGCCAAUUAGUGAGCCUAAUGAUAUUUCACCAACACGUCAGGUCAAGGUGCAGCAAAUAAAAUGGGAAGAGAUGGGCUACACUUUCUACUAUAGAAGAAACGAAAAACUACUUAUGAAACCUAGUUGGAAGGCGGAUUUAGCAGUAAAAAGGAACUAGCAUGUCCAUUUUAACUCGGCACUGGGGUGUGU
rnacentral:rRNA from 1 species